GACGAACGCUGGCGGCGUGCCUAAUACAUGCAAGUUGAGCGCUGAAGGUUGGUACUUGUACCGACUGGAUGAGCAGCGAACGGGUGAGUAACGCGUGGGGAAUCUGCCUUUGAGCGGGGGACAACAUUUGGAAACGAAUGCUAAUACCGCAUAAAAACUUUAAACACAAGUUUUAAGUUUGAAAGAUGCAAUUGCAUCACCCAAAGAUGAUCCCGCGUUGUAUUAGCUAGUUGGUGAGGUAAAGGCUCACCAAGGCGAUGAUACAUAGCCGACCUGAGAGGGUGAUCGGCCACAUUGGGACUGAGACACGGCCCAAACUCCUACGGGAGGCAGCAGUAGGGAAUCUUCGGCAAUGGACGAAAGUCUGACCGAUCAACGCCGCGUGAGUGAAGAAGGUUUUCGGAUCGUAAAACUCUGUUGGUAGAGAAGAACGUUGGUGAGAGUGGAAAGCUCAUCAAGUGACGGUAACUACCCAGAAAGGGACGGCUAACUACGUG
rnacentral:rRNA from 1 species